GGGGAAUAUUGGACAAUGGGCGAAAGCCUGAUCCAGCAACGCCGCGUGAGGGAUGACGGCCUUCGGGUUGUAAACCUCUUUCAGUAUCGACGAAGCGCCCUGUCGGGUGGUGACGGUAGAUACAGAAGAAGGACCGGCCAACUACGUGCCAGCAGCCGCGGUAAUACGUAGGGUCCGAGCGUUGUCCGGAAUUAUUGGGCGUAAAGGGCUCGUAGGCGGUUUGUCGCGUUGGGAGUGAAAUCUUACAGCUUAACUGUGAACUUGCUUUCGAUACGGGCAGACUUGAGGCAUUCAGGGGAGAACGGAAUUCCUGGUGUAGCGGUGAAAUGCGCAGAUAUCAGGAGGAACACCGGUGGCGAAGGCGGUUCUCUGGGAAUGUUCUGACGCUGAGGAGCGAAAGUGUGGGGAGCGAAC
rnacentral:rRNA from 1 species